CCAUACCACCUUAGGCACGCCCGAUCUCGUCUGAUCUCGGAAGCUAAGCAGGGUCGGGCCUGGUUAGUACUUAGAUGGGUGACCGCCUGGGAAUACCAGGUG
rnacentral:rRNA from 10 species